UACGGAGGGGACUAGCGUUGUUCGGAAUUACUGGGCGUAAAGCGCGCGUAGGCGGACUAUUAAGUCAGGGGUGAAAUCCCGGGGCUCAACCCCGGAACUGCCUUUGAUACUGGUAGUCUAGAGUCCGGAAGAGGUGAGUGGAAUUCCACGUGUAGCGGUGAAAUGCGUAGAGAUGUGGAGGAACACCAGUGGCGAAGGCGGCUCACUGGCCAGAUACUGACGCUGAGGUGCGAAAGUGUGGGGAGCAAACAGG
rnacentral:misc_RNA from 1 species